AGGUUACAAGUUACAUGUUUAGUUUUAGAAAAUUUGUGCAAUAUGUUCAUAACGAUGGCUGUGGUUGCCACAAAGUGCCUCGUUUACCUUUAAAUACUGUUAAUGUGUCGUGCAUGCAGACGGAAGGGGUGGAUCUGUGCACUAAACGGGGGGCUUUUACUCUAGUAUUCGGCAGAGUUGCCUUCUACCUGCCAGCUCAAAAGUUCGAUCUGUUUUCAUAUAGAAUAUAUAUACUAAAACCAUCCAGUCUGUAAAACAGCCUUACCCCGAUUCAGCCUCUUCAGAUACUCUUGUGCUGUGCAGCAGUGGCUCUGUGUGUAAAUGCUAUGCACUGAGGAUACACAAAUAUGACGUGUACAGGAUAAUGCCUCAUACCAAUCAGAUGUCCAUUUGUUACUGUGUUUGUUAACAACCCUUUAUCUCUUAGUGUUAUAAACUCCACUUAAAACUG
rnacentral:lncRNA from 1 species